AUUGAACGCUGGCGGCAUGCCUUACACAUGCAAGUCGAACGGCAGCACGGGGGCAACCCUGGUGGCGAGUGGCGAACGGGUGAGUAAUGCAUCGGAACGUGUCCUCUUGUGGGGGAUAACCAGUCGAAAGACUGGCUAAUACCGCAUGAGAUCGAAAGAUGAAAGCGGGGGCACCGCAAGGCCUCGCGCGAGAGGAGCGGCCGAUGCCGGAUUAGCUAGUUGGUGGGGUAAUGGCCCACCAAGGCGACGAUCCGUAGCUGGUCUGAGAGGACGACCAGCCACACUGGGACUGAGACACGGCCCCAGACUCCUACGGGAGGCAGCAGUGGGGAAUUUUGGACAAUGGGCGCAAGCCUGAUCCAGCCAUGCCGCGUGUGUGAAGAAGGCCUCGGGUUGUAAAGCACUUUCGGACGGAACGAAAUCGCGCGCAUGAACAAUGCGCGUGGAUGACGGUACCGUAAGAAGAAGCACCGGCUAACUACGUGCCAGCAGCCGCGGUAAUACGUAGGGCGCAAGCGUUAAUCGGAAUUACUGGGCGUAAAGGGUGCGCAGGCGGCCCCGCAUGUCAGGCGUGAAACUCCCCGGGGCUCAACCUGGGAAUGGCGCUUGAAACUACGGGGCUGGAGUGUGGCAGAGGGAGGUGGAAUUCCACGUGUAGCGGUGAAAUGCGUAGAUAUGUGGAGGAACACCGAUGGCGAAGGCAAGCCUCCUGGGCCAACACUGACGCUCAUGCACGAAAAGCGUGGGGGAGCAAAACAGGAUUAGAUACCCUGGUAG
rnacentral:rRNA from 1 species